GGGGAUGUGGCUCAGGGGUAGAGUACUUGACUAGCAGGCAAGAAGCCCUGAGUUCAAAAGGUCAGUACCCUCA
rnacentral:tRNA from 1 species